CUUCUCUCCUCCACACUAGGAGUGACCUUCCUGUCUGGGGGUCAGAGCGAAGAAGAGGCAUCAUUCAACCUCAAUGCCAUCAACCGCUGCCCCCUUCCCCGACCCUGGGCGCUUACCUUCUCCUAUGGGCGUGCCCUGCAAGCCUCUGCACUCAAUGCCUGGCGAGGGCAACGGGACAAUGCUGGGGCUGCCACUGAGGAGUUCAUCAAGCGGGCUGAGGUGAAUGGGCUUGCAGCCCAGGGCAAGUAUGAAGGCAGUGGAGAAGAUGGUGGAGCAGCAGCACAGUCACUCUACAUUGCCAACCAUGCCUACUGAGUAUCCACUCCAUACCACAGCCCUUGGCCCAGCCAUCUGCACCCACUUUUGCUUGUAGUCAUGGCCAGGGCCAAAUAGCUAUGCAGAGCAGAGAUGCCUUCACCUGGCACCAACUUGUCUUCCUUUCUCUCUUCCCUUCCCCUCUCUCAUUGCUGCACCUGGGACCAUAGGAUGGGAGGAUAGGGAGCCCCUCAUGACUGAGGGCAGAAGAAAUUGCUAGAAGUCAGAACAGGAUGGCUGGGUCUCCCCCUACCUCUUCCAGCUCCCACAAUUUUCCCAUGAUGAGGUAGCUUCUCCCUGGGCUCUCCUUCUUGCCUGCCCUGUCUCCUGGGAUCAGAGGGUAGUACAGAAGCCCUGACUCAUGCCUUGAGUACAUACCAUACAGCAAAUAAAUGGUAGC
rnacentral:lncRNA from 1 species